rnacentral:sRNA from 1 species
AUACUAUUUGCGACCGUAAGUUUGGGUUUAGCCCGCUUGUGUUUGUGCCCGGCUCUGGCUAUAUUAAAAAAGAAUU